rnacentral:lncRNA from 1 species
GGGAAUAUAGAAGCAGAGCAAGAAAGAAGAAAGCAGAACAAGUAGGAAGACAAGCAAGAAGCCAUAAAGAAGUCAAAAAGCCAAGAAGACAUAAAAAACCGAAGAUAAGCUGAAACAGAGAGUACUAGCAGCAGCAAACACAAAGAACAGCAGCUUAUUUGUUUGUUGAAACAGAGAGUACUAGCAGCAGCAAACACAAAGAACAGCAGCUUAUUUGUUUGUAACAACAGAACUGAUAUUUCCUACACUUCCAUAAUUUAAAUUUAUUAUACAUCAGGUUCAGGCGCUAGAUUUGAGCUUUUAUAGCUGAGUAAGUUAAUAUAAGAAAAAAAUUGAUUUUUUAUCAUUCUCUUUUCC